GCCUCGCGAGGUAAAAGGUCAACAGACGCCGUACGUCACUGCACAGACAAGGCGGGCGAUGAGGCCCAUGUCCAUGUCCCCCCGGCCCGGGCCCGGCCCAGUCACGAAGCCUCAUCCUAACUCUACUCCCACUUUCUCACCUUUACCAAUCAUUCGUUUACUUUUCCAAACGAGAAAAAAUCGUAAGGAAUAACUUUUUUCUAGUGGUCAGCACUUCUGAGCUGUUCGGGAACUUUUAAAGAUAGUUAGCCCUGACAAUGGCAUUUAUGCUUGAUGGGGAAGAAAAAGCACCUGCAGAUUUUGAGUCCAUGAAUGUCAAAUGGAAUCAUUAGUACUGAAGUUACAUUGCCAUUUUAAAUAGUAUGCGAUGCGUUUAAGACCAUCAAAUUGCUCGUUCUUUACGGGGAAAUCCGCCGACAGAAAGCUAUUCUCAUUGACGUGGCCUCUACCAGGUACUGGAAAGGAUUGAAUGACCAUCAUGCCUUCUAAACCUCAUUCAGUCCUUCAAUGAGAUUAUGCACAGUGCAGUGCAAUUUGAUGGUGCUACAUCAGUUUCCCCAUGAGAAGAGUGCAGCAAGGCUGUGUCCUAACUCCCAUUCUGUUCGGCAUCUUCCUCUCUGCCUUUCUGUCCUUUGCCUUCCCAACAGACACAGAAGGAGUGUAUCUUGACAGCAGAAGCGACAGGAAGCUCUUCAAUCUAGCAAGGUUGAAAGUCAAGAUAAAGGUACAAACUGCACUUAUAAGGGACCUCCUGUAUGCUGAUGAUGCUACACUCAUCACCCCAAUGGAAACAUAGAAACAUAGAAAUUAGGUGCAGGAGUAGGCCCUUCGAGCCUGCACCGCCAUUCAAUAUGAUCAUGGCUGAUCAUCCAACUCAGUAUCCCGUACCUGCCUUCUCUCCAUACCCCCUGAUCCCCUUAGCCACAAGGGCCACAUCUAACUCCCUCUUAAAUAUAGCCAAUGAACUGGCCUCAACUACCCUCUGUGGCAGAGAGUUCCAGAGAUUCACCACUCUCUGUGUGAAAAAAGUUCUUCUCAUCUCGGUUUUUAAAGGAU